rnacentral:rRNA from 1 species
GUUUAAUUUCGAUGAUACGCGAGGAACCUUUACCCGGGCUUGAAAGUUACUGAAUUAUCUAGAGAUAGAUAAGUCCGCAAGGACAGGAAACUAGGUGCUGCAUGGCUGUCGUCAGCUCGUGUCGUGAGAUGUUGGGUUAAGUCCCGUAACGAGCGCAACCCUUGUCCUUAGUUACCAGCACGUUAUGGUGGGCACUCUAAGGAGACUGCCGGUGACAAACCGGAGGAAGGUGGGGAUGACGUCAAGUCAUCAUCGGCCCGUUACGGCCUGGGCUACACACGUGCUACAAUGGUCGGUACAGAGGGUCGCCAAGCCGCGAGGUGGAGCUAAUCUCACAAAACCGAUCGUAGUCCGGAUCGCAGUCUGCAACUCGACUGCGUGAAGUCGGAAUCGCUAGUAAUCGCGAAUCAGAAUGUCGCGGUGAAUACGUUCCCGGGCCUUGUACAC